rnacentral:rRNA from 1 species
AGUGGCGCACGGGUGAGUAACGCGUGGGAACCUGCCCUGGAGUGAGGGAUAACCGAGGGAAACCUCGGCUAAUACCGCAUACGCCCCUUUGCCGUGGAGGUAUUGGGGGAAAGAUUUAUCGCUCUAGGAGGGGCCCGCGUCGGAUUAGCUAGUUGGUGAGGUAACGGCUCACCAAGGCGAUGAUCCGUAGCUGGUCUGAGAGGAUGAUCAGCCACACUGGGACUGAGACACGGCCCAGACUCCUACGGGAGGCAGCAGUGGGGAAUAUUGGACAAUGGGGGCAAUCCUGAUCCAGCAAUGCCGCGUGAGUGAUGAAGGCCUUAGGGUUGUAAAGCUCUUUCGGCGGGGACGAUGAUGACGGUACCCGCAGAAGAAGCCCCGGCUAACUUCGUGCCAGCAGCCGCGGUAAUACGAAGGGGGCGAGCGUUGUUCGGAAUUACUGGGCGUAAAGGGCGCGCAGGCGGCUCUUGAAGUCAGGCGUGAAAGCCCCGGGCUCAACCUGGGAGGUGCGCUUGA